AUGCAGAUCCGAUUGGAUGGGGCUGUGUGCUUGUGUUUCUGCAGAUACUCUGGGCCAUUGUGAAGUUUUCAUGCUAUUAUGGUUUCAAUGCUGAGGAUCUUCAGCGUUUUGCUCCUGUCUAUGUGUUUGGAUCAGUGGGUGUUGUUUUACUGAACUCUGUGACACUGAUGACUGAACUGAUACUGAAAGCAGUGAAUGGUAAUCGUACAGUUGGGGAUCUGAGAUUCAUUGUCUUUCCUUCUGAAUCUUA